AAGUUUCUUUCCCUUUAAUCAGAGAUUAGCCAUCGGAUCGUAAAGUUCUUGGACCACAAUAUCUCUUCAGAAGACGUCGUUAACCUCCUGUUUCGGUUUAUCGUCGACAGAAGGCAUAGGACGAAUCAGCUUUGAUCCUGGGCAGGUUCCACGCGAUUCCUGUCGGAGCCUUGGGCGAUAGAGCACACCGUGGCUGCAUCGUCAGAAAAUUUCAUGGGGUUAGCACGAUGUCCGAUAGCAGAGAUUGCGUAAUAGAGAUCACUUGGCAGAGGAUCUGAUCAAAGUUGAAUCUCAUUGGCUUUCGUUUCGGUGGUACAAACGAAGGAACUGCCUUAUCUCUGUUAUGGAAGUCCUAUAGAUAGAAGAGAUAAGGGAUACAGAAUAAAGAUACAAAUUUUUGAGGAGUAACGAUAUUGACCGUGUGUAGAUAGUAUUAAGAUUUUUGAACUCUCUUAAACGUGAUAAUUGGAUAAUUUUGAUAAUAAUGAUUGUAUGGAUCGAAUCUAACGUGCGAAAGGAGCGAAUUCUCAAAAUUGUUAACGAAAGCAGUUACGUGGGAAAGAAGCAGAAGUGCUCAGAUUUCCAGCAGAGGACUAGAUUUUAUAGAAGACGCUGCAUAGAUCAAGGAUAUUUUCAUUUUUCAUCAACCACCAGUUGCCCGUUUGUGUUCUCUCGCUCCUCGAUUAUACAUUUUGCUACAUGACUUAAAACCUGGCCAGAGGUUGUUCCAGUUACGCUUUAAUAAUGAUAAUAUUUCCUGAGCACCGUGUACCGUGUCAUGUAUCAUGAGAAGCCGAGAUUUUUUUCGCGUUAAAACAUAUUAUAUUUUAAAAAUUAAUUAAAACGGUGGAUACGAGUUGAUCGUUGAAUCAUUUGGAAUAUUAUUGGAAUAUUAUUGGAGGAGGAAGAUACAAUGAAAAAGGAAAAUUUCGAGAUCUAUUUGGAAAGAACGUGAAAUUUCAUGCGCAAUUUCAUACUCGAAAGAAAACAGAGUAAACAGAAAAUCGUAUUACCAAGUAAAAUGAUUUUGAAACGGAAUAACGUUCUCUAUUGAGAUGCGGAAAUACCGUACAAAUAACCGAGAUGUUUGCAUAGGAUGGGGACACCGGGCGAAACUCAUCUUUUCAGAUGUUUCCCAGUACACCGAUAGUCGUGGUCGAGAGGAAUGAAUUAAAAAA